CGCGGCGAGAGCGGGUCGC
rnacentral:snRNA from 1 species